UACGGAGGGUGCGAGCGUUGUCCGGAAUCACUGGGCGUAAAGGGCGCGUAGGUGGCGUCGCAAGUCAACGGUGAAAGCUCGACGCUCAACGUCGAGUCGGCCGUCGAGACUGCGAGGCUUGAGCACUGUAGAGGCAGAUGGAAUUCCGGGUGUAGCAGUGAAAUGCGUAGAGAUGUGGAGGAAUACCGAUGGCGAAGGCAGCCUCCUGGGCCAACACUGACGCUCGAUGCACGAAAGCGUGGGGAGCAAACAGG
rnacentral:rRNA from 1 species